rnacentral:rRNA from 1 species
UGUGAUUAUACCUUUAAUUGUUGCUUCGGCGGGACUUCGCGCCCGCCGGGGACCCAAACCUUCUGAAUUUUUUAAUAAGUAUCUUCUGAGUGGUUAAAAAAAAAUGAAUCAAAACUUUCAACAACGGAUCUCUUGGUUCUGGCAUCGAUGAAGAACGCAGCGAAAUGCGAUAAGUAAUGUGAAUUGCAGAAUUCAGUGAAUCAUCGAAUCUUUGAACGCACAUUGCGCCCGUCAGUAUUCUGGCGGGCAUGCCUGUUCGAGCGUCAUUACGCCCCUCAAGUCCCCUGCGGACUUGGUGUUGGGGAUCGGCGAGGCUGGUUUUCCAGCACAGCCGUCCCUUAAAUUAAUUGGCGGUCUCGCCGUGGCCCUCCUCUGCGCAGUAGUAAAGCACUCGCAACAGGAGCCCGGCGCGGUCCACUGCCGUAAAACCCCCCAACUUUUUAUAGUUGACCUCGAAUCAGGUAGGACUACCCGCUGAACUUAAGCAUAUC